rnacentral:rRNA from 1 species
CCUACGGGUGGCAGCAGUGGGGAAUAUUGGGCAAUGGGCGCAAGCCUGACCCAGCAACGCCGCGUGAAGGAAGAAGGCUUGCGGGUUGUAAACUUCUUUUCUCAGGGACGAAGCAAGUGACGGUACCUGAGGAAUAAGCAACGGCUAACUACGUGCCAGCAGCCGCGGUAAUACGUAGGUGGCAAGCGUUAUCCGGAUUUACUGGGUGUAAAGGGCGUGUAGGCGGGGACGCAAGUCAGAUGUGAAAACCACGGGCUCAACCUGUGGCCUGCAUUUGAAACUGUGUUUCUUGAGUUCUGGAGAGGCAGACGGAAUUCCUGGUGUAGCGGUGAAAUGCGUAGAUAUUAGGCGGAACACCAGUGGCGAAGGCGGUCUGCUGGCCAGCAACUGACGCUGAGGCGCGAAAGCGUGGGGAGCAAACAGGAUUAGAUACCCUGGUAGUC